CAAAAGGCUCUUCUAAGAGCCACCUACUAAUGUCUGUAAAAGUAGCU
rfam:Dipodomys ordii contig_70646, whole genome shotgun sequence.